rnacentral:lncRNA from 1 species
UUGAUUCGUUCCUCAUCUCUUACCUCGAUCCCCUAUUCCGCCGCCGCGCGACCCGAGCGCUGGCCGCUGGCCGCAUCGUGGCCACAGGGAGGCCGUGCCGCCGCCGCUCGAGUACACACCCAGCGUUGCAUCCGCUCGAUUCCAUACCUCCACCGGCCGCUCUAGUCCACAGCCCACGCCGCCUCCUAUAGCCGCUCGAAUCCACUCGUCCACCGUCCGCAGGAGCUGCCGCCGGAGUCCACGGAUGGGAGACUGGGAGACGGCGGAAGAACAGGAUUUCGCCUCCGCCGACCAUUACUUGGACGCUGGUUCUCCACAAUCUGGUAGCGGGCGCCGCUGUUUCUCCACGUCGUCAGAUCGAGCCAGCUGAGGUUUGAGAGCUAGAGCUUCAGAACUCUCGCUGUUGUGCCUCUUUUUCAAUUUUUUCUUUAAAGUAACACACGACUCAUUUCAUUACAUAGUAGUACUGGGUAUAUUGCUAGAUCAUAAUGUCCAGAAUUUCAUUGCUGUCGUCAGAUGCGUUGAGUCAGUUUAAAACUUCACAAAGUGUCAAUCGUGUCAAACAAUAAAUCAAUAUACAUAAUUCGAACAAAACUUGUUUUCCAUAACUUGUGAAAAAUUAAGCUGACACAUUACUUGAGCUGUCAAAGGCGUAGUUGUAAGGUUUCAUCCUUGUACUCUGCACCAGCAAGAAAAUCAUAUGAGGUUUGAAUUAUCCAGCACAUUACUUGAGCAGAAAAGAUAAGUUGACAGCACUCACUCUGAAUGUUCAGCAGUGAGUAAGCUCAGUUUACCUGGGUUGUCAAUCAAAGGUGCCUUCCAUUUGCCUUGUUGUGCUUUUAGAGCUGCAAGUGAAAUCUUGCAUUUGGAGCGUAGUCACAACGCAUACUGUAGAAUAUGAUGUCCACUUUGGCUUAGCUCAGUAUUAUAAACUCGCUGUUGGAAAGUAACGACGGUUGAAUACAAUUUCAACUGUUUUAGCAUUAUAAUAAAUUCACUAAUGAUAUUUGCUACUUUAACACAGAGGCGAUGGAUCUAACAACUAUUAAAAAGUUAUUGUGUUCUCCUAGACCAAGUGCAGACUAUUUGGCUGGCGUAGAUGGUUUUCUUGCUUUUGCAUACACUGGAAAAAGUUCAGAUGCCAAGAUCCAUUGUCCAUGCGUCAAAUGUGUCAAUAGGAACUUGUUGAAGCGGGACACCGUAUAUGAUCAUUUGGUGUGUGAUGGAAUGCUACUUGGAUACACUGUUUGGGGUUGUCAUGGUGAAACUGCAGGAUACAUCUCCUCUAACAAAUGAAAAAGGUCAAAACAGGAAGGCAUAAACUCUAAUAUGCGCCGGCUAGUCCAUGAUAUUUUCGUGAACAUAGAUAAUGGGUCUCAAGUGAACGACUUUGAUGACCCAAACCCUCCACAACACGGGCCAGAUCCUGAAACCCAAGCCUUUUAUGACUUGUUGAGAGAAGCAGAUGUACCUUUGUGGAAAAGGAUAUUAGAUUGCUCGCCCUGGGCCCAGUUAAUGCAGCCAAAAGAUAUUGCGCUUUCAACUCCCGAGGCUACCAUUUUAGGCCUAAACGCUUGGAUAAAGAGACACAAAAUAGUGGAGUCAUGGUAACUGCAAAAACUUCUAGUUAUGAUUCAGCACAUGAUGCCAAUCCUGUUUUACGUGAUGUGACGUACUACGGGAGGGUAAUUGAUAUUGUCGAGCUAAACUACUCUGGACAGUUUUCAGUGGUGUUGUUUAAAUGUGAAUGGGUUAAUGUGUUCUCAGGAACAGGAAUGAAAAAAGACAAGUACGGUUACACACUUGUCAACUUCUCACAUCUAAUACACAAAGGAGAACAGAUUGAGCAUGAGCCUUUUAUUUUCCCUAACCAGGCGAAUCAAGUGUUCUAUGUGGAAGAUGAAUUGAAUUCAGGUUGGUCUGUGGUAAUGAAGUUGCCAAAGCCUAGAGAUGUAUAUGACUUAGGCAACUUGGAAUGGGAAGCGCAGACAGAAAAUGAGCCAUUCCAUGUUUCACAGCUUAGAGAGAGUUUGAAAAGAAAGAACAAUGAACAACAUUGGGUUAGAAGAGACGUUGAGGGGACAAUAGUGGAUGCUAAUAAUGCUUCGAGCAACGAAGAAUAGUUUAGGUUAGUAGCAAUAUGUUCUUGUGUUUCCAUAUUCAAUUUGCAAGAUGUGUUUUUACCUCUAGUAUAAUUUGUUGUUCAAUCUUUCUAUUCUUCAAUUAUGUUUUGUGCAUUCUUUCUUUUAUGUUGAGUUGACACUUUCAUAUCAGAUAUGAAAUUUAGUGAUAAAAGUAGCACAAAAUGUCUCUUCUAUUUUCUUGUUCGUGUUUUGAAUUAUUUUGGCUGCAUGCUACAGGUUCAGACUGCAUGCUACAUGGAGGCAUGGAGGGGUUGGUCGGCUGUGUGCUUUGUGUUGGUACAAAACAACCUACUCUUUUCUGCUUGCUGGCUUUCUGCUGACUACUUGACCAACUUGCUUGGUGAUAUACUGCUGUGUGAGACCAUGUCUUGGUCAAAACUUAGUAUACUCUUAUAUUCAUGCUUGUAAUUCGGUCAGCUACGACACCACGUGCUUGUUUGGAACAUCAUUUUGUACUUUGGUCAACAACAGUUCAGAAUUGAGAUAUACACAUCUUGUUUGGAACUUUAUUUUGUAUACUUUGGUUAACAGUUCAGAAUUGGCAUACUCUUGCAGUGUUCAAAAAUCCUGUUUUGCGAUCACAUGUUGCCAUUUUUCUAAAAGUCUG